GAACUGCGAUAAGUAAUGUGAAUUGCAGAAUUCAGUGAAUCAUCGAGUCUUUGAACGCACAUGGCGCUCCUUGGUAUUCCUUGGAGCAUGCCUGUUUGAGUAUCAUGAAAUCUUCAAAGUAAAUCUUUUGUUAACUCAAUUGGUUUCUACUUUGGUAUUGGAGGUCUUUGCAGCUUCACACCUGCUCCUCUUUGUUCAUUAGCUGGAUCUCAGUGUUAUGCUUGGUUCCACUCGGCGUGAUAAGUUAUCUAUCGCUGAGGACACUGUAAAAGGUGGCCAAGGUAAAUGCAGAUGAACCGCUUCUAAUAGUCCAUUGACUUGGACAAUACUUUUAUGAUCUGAUCUCAAAUCAGGUAGGACUACCCGCUGAACUUAAGC
rnacentral:misc_RNA from 1 species